GACGAACGCUGGCGGCGUGCUUAACACAUGCAAGUCGAACGGAAAGGCCCUGCUUUUGUGGGGUGCUCGAGUGGCGAACGGGUGAGUAACACGUGAGUAACCUGCCCUUGACUUUGGGAUAACUUCAGGAAACUGGGGCUAAUACCUGAUAUGAGCUCCUGCUGCAUGGUGGGGGUUGGAAAGUUUCGGCGGUUGGGGAUGGACUCGCGGCUUAUCAGCUUGUUGGUGGGGUAGUGGCUUACCAAGGCUUUGACGGGUAGCCGGCCUGAGAGGGGGACCGGCCACAAUGGGACUGAGGGACGGCCCAGACGCCUAUGGGAGGCAGAAGGGGGGAAUAUGGCACAAUGGGCGGAAGCCUGAGGAAGAAACGCCGCGGGCGGGAUGACGGCCUUCGGGUUGUAAACCGCUGUCGCCUGAGACGAAGCGUGAGUGACGGUAAUGGGUAAAGAAGCACCGGCUAACUACGUG
rnacentral:rRNA from 1 species